GAGUUUGAUCAUGGCUCAGAUUGAACGCUGGCGGUAUGCUUAACACAUGCAAGUCGAACGGUAGCAGGCCUUCGGGCGCUGACGAGUGGCGGACGGGUGAGUAACGCGUAGGAAUCCGCCUCAUAGUGGGGGACAACGUGGGGAAACUCACGCUAAUACCGCAUACGCCCUACGGGGGAAAGCGGGGGCUCUUCGGACCUCGCGCUAUGAGAUGAGCCUGCGUUAGAUUAGCUAGUUGGUGGGGUAAAGGCCUACCAAGGCGACGAUCUAUAGCUGGUCUGAGAGGACGAUCAGCCACACUGGGACUGAGACACGGCCCAGACUCCUACGGGAGGCAGCAGUGGGGAAUAUUGGACAAUGGGCGGAAGCCUGAUCCAGCAAUACCGCGUGUGUGAAGAAGGCCUUAGGGUUGUAAAGCACUUUCAAUUGGGAGGAAAACCUGCCGGUCAAUACCCGGUAGCUUGACAUUACCUUUAGAAGAAGCACCGGCUAACUCCGUGCCAGCAGCCGCGGUAAUACGGAGGGUGCGAGCGUUAAUCGGAAUUACUGGGCGUAAAGCGUGCGUAGGUGGUUCGUUAAGUCAGAUGUGAAAGCCCUGGGCUCAACCUGGGAACGGCAUUUGAAACUGGCGGACUAGAGUUUAGUAGAGGGGAGUGGAAUUUCAGGUGUAGCGGUGAAAUGCGUAGAUAUCUGAAGGAACACCAGUGGCGAAGGCGACUCCCUGGACUAGAACAGACGCUGAGGUACGAAAGCGUGGGUAGCAAACAGGAUUAGAUACCCUGGUAGUCCACGCUGUAAACGAUGUCAACUAGCCGUUGGUCCUAUUUACAGGAUUAGUGGCGCAGCUAACGCAUUAAGUUGACCGCCUGGGGAGUACGGCCGCAAGGUUAAAACUCAAAUGAAUUGACGGGGGCCCGCACAAGCGGUGGAGCAUGUGGUUUAAUUCGAUGCAACGCGAAGAACCUUACCUACCCUUGACAUCCAGAGAAUCUGUUAGAGAUAGUAGAGUGCCUUCGGGAGCUCUGAGACAGGUGCUGCAUGGCUGUCGUCAGCUCGUGUCGUGAGACGUUGGGUUAAGUCCCGUAACGAGCGCAACCCUUAUCCUUAGUUGCCAGCGGGUCAUGCCGGGAACUCUAGGGAGACUGCCGGUGAUAAACCGGAGGAAGGUGGGGACGACGUCAAGUCAUCAUGGCCCUUAUGGGUAGGGCUACACACGUGCU
rnacentral:rRNA from 1 species